AAGAAGAAAGCCACUAUGAAUGUGUCUAUGGAGGUUGAAAGCACAAUAAAUAAAGAUGAUGUAUUGGAAAAAAAUAGAAUAUUAGAAAAUAAGAAGAAAGCUAAGAAAUUAUUACAUAGCUUAAUUGUUCUGAAUGAUGGUCUAAAGGAAGAAAAUAUUAUAGUUAAUAGUAUAAACGAAAGAAUGGAGGAUGAAAGCACAAUAGAUGAUUCCUGUAAAGAGUAUAUGGUGUCAGAAACUUCAAAUCUGUUUAAUAAUGUAAUGGAAAAUACUGAAGAAUUAAAUGAUGAAAAGGUUAAAAAAUUCUUCGAAGAUCUUGGUGACACUAUGAGUUUAUUCCUGUCUUCUGAAAAACAAGAAGAGUUAAAAUCAAGAAUAAAUGAAGUGAUAAAAUUAAGGUUUUUCAUAAACCGCAUGAAAUAAUUUAGGUAUGUUGUGCAAUUGCAAUGCAUAAACAAUUGAUAAAUGGUGCCUUAUAGCAGACCAUGUUAAAUAGCUAAAAAGAUGUUUAAAGUGAUUACUGGAACACUUCUUAAUUAUUCGUCUCCACUAAAUAAGAAAUAAAUGCAAAGGAAGAAUUAAAUGUGACUUCAUAUCCAAAUUAGAGAUUUCUCAAUUCUCAUAUUAUGCAUCCAUAGUCUGCUAAACGAAGCAGGUCAAUAUUGGUCGUAAUGCUGCAAAGAAACUACCAAAGCUCAUUGGGAUUUUGUUAACUGUUGAUUUAUUUGUUGAUUAUACUCAACUCAUGGAAGAGAAAGUGUGUUGUGUUCUGUUUAAUAUUCAUUUUUAUUAAAGACAAAAUAUUACUUACA